rnacentral:rRNA from 1 species
UACGUAGGGAGCGAGCGUUGUCCGGAAUCAUUGGGCGUAAAGAGCACGUAGGUGGAUCAAUUAGUCUGCUGUGAAAGUCAAAGGCUCAACCUUUGAAAGCCGGUGGAUACUGUUGAUCUAGAGUACGGAAGAGGCGAGUGGAAUUCCUGGUGUAGCGGUGGAAUGCGCAGAUAUCAGGAGGAACACCAAUAGCGAAGGCAGCUCGCUGGGACGUUACUGACACUGAGGUGCGAAAGCGUGGGGAGCAAACAGG